rnacentral:rRNA from 1 species
UUGACGGGGACCCGCACAAGCGGUGGAGCAUGUGGUUUAAUUCGAAGCAACGCGAAGAACCUUACCAAGUCUUGACAUCGGAAUGACCGGUCCGUAACGGGGCCUUCCCUACGGGGCAUUCCAGACAGGUGGUGCAUGGUUGUCGUCAGCUCGUGUCGUGAGAUGUUGGGUUAAGUCCCGCGACGAGCGCAACCCUUAUCCUUAGUAGCCAGCAGUUCGGCUGGGCACUCUGGGGAGACUGCCAGGGAUAACCUGGAGGAAGGUGGGGAUGACGUCAAAUCAUCAUGCCCCUUAUGAUUUGGGCUACACACGUGCUACAAUGGCGUAAACAAAGGGAAGCGAAGGAGUGAUCCGGAGCAAAUCUCAAAAAUAACGUCUCAGUUCGGAUUGUAGUCUGCAACUCGACUACAUGAAGCUGGGAUCGCUAGUAAUCGCGGAUCAGAAUGCCGCGGUGAAUACGUUCCCGGGUCUU